GGGGCACACUAGCACUGCUUUAAUCAAGAUGAAGAUGGGCAAGGAAUUCCCAGAAUCCUUUCCUCCUCUCAGACUGGAGACUAAAGCAAAAGUAACCCAAGAUCUCAGGAAUAGGAAGAAAGCAUGGGGUGAAGAGAUGGGUCUACUCUGGGAAGAGCAGACACAGCUGAGAAGUUGAGCAAGCCCUUCUAAACAUCUAGCCUUUUCCCCUUCAAACAAACUAACAGGAAGAGACACAGCUGAGAAGCUGAGCAAGCCCUUCUAAACAUCUAGCCUUUUCCACUUCAAACAAACCAAGAGGGGAGUUUAGCAGGGGCUGUUUCUCUCUAAGGGGUAGGUCUUUGUCUCUCUAUCUCUGUGUGUGUUACUUGUUAGGGUUACUUGUUAGGGUUAACAUAUAACAGGGCUAGGAGUUCUUAGGGUUACCUAAAGGCAGUGUUACUUAGUAGUGGGGGUGGAGCCAGCUAGGGCUGGGAGGGGCCCCACAUUCCUUCCUUUGACUCACAUCCUGUGUGACAGUUGGAAGCCUACUCUACAUAAGAGGUGUAGGCCCGAGAGCAUAGCGAGCAGAGCAUAGCCGACAGGGAUAGCAAACAGGACAUAGGAGUUUUGCAGGAGUUUAGUGGGAAGUGUGUGGGGGAGCCUGGAACAAGCCCCCGCGAUCACAAGGAUCACAAGGAGCCUCGUGGAGAAGAGAACAUGAGACAUUUUGUUCUUCAGAUCGAGAGACAGCAGAUACAAUUUAGGAGAUAUGAUUAACUGAAUUCACUACCGCAGAAUUCAUUCUGAGCACAGAGUUAUUCUGGCAUGGUGGAUACCAAAUGAAUGCCACUUUGGCCUAUGAAAAGGAGCGAGGAGUUUUCAAGAUCCUCCCCCAGGAGCAAGGUUAGAGAAGUGUAUCCAGGAGUGACAACGUAGUGUCACCGCUGCCAACAUGGAGCAAGCCGUGCAGUCUGUGAAAUAUUGAGAAGUGUGCAACAAUAGCUUGGGAAGUCUAGAAGCCUCCUUGCGGAGCGGGAUGAUGCCUGAGGAACUCGGUGUAAUCCAGAGGAAGUGCUCAAAUUCAGCGCCGUUGAGUUCAGAUUUUUUACUGUUCCUGAAGGGCAUGGGACCGACUGGUUGGCAUCAUCCAUCGGUGUCAAGGGGGCAGUCUUGUCCAGUACUACUAUGGUCAAAGUGGUAGGUAGAGUAGCCAUUUUGGGUGCGGGGGUGGAGAGGGCCCGCUCCCACAACAAGGCACAGAGCGUGGAAGCCUUAAUUCUGCCUUGCCUGCUUAGUACAUUUUUGGCAAUGGGUGCAGUGUUCCAACAGCUGUGCCUCCCCCAAGCAAAUGGUGGUGGUUGUCAGUCAAGGGAAGUUUAGCCUCACAUCUGAUACAUUUUUUAAAGGAAACUUUUGUCUCCAUACAAGUCUGAAGACAACUGUCUGUAAGGGGCGGAGCAGGUGUCUGCAACAAACAAGACAAAUGGAAAUAAAAACAUGUGAGAAUAGUUGAAUAAACAAGAAAACUGAACGAAAAUAAUAAGGUGGUACGAAAAAACCCAGAUUGCUGUUUGGAAAUAUUAUUCAAUUGGACAUGGUAAUGUGUUGCGUGUGGCGGACAACUAAGAACUGAAAAGGAGGGAAUAGUCUUGCUCUCCUGCAGGAUAGCGGGAAGUAGGGACGUGCAAACAGGUUCAACAUCGAACCGAUUCAGUUCAACUGUUCAGGGUUGAACCGAACCACACCCUGUUCGGUCCAACCCUGGAUCAAAACCUCCAUGAUUCUUUUGUUGUUUCAAAAUUUUCAAAUUUUUAUUUUUUACAUUUACCCCCUCCAUUGGAGUUGUCCGAGGUGGCGGAGGGUGGGCGGGGACAUGGAAGUUCCUCCUCCCCCUGCUAGCCUCCCUUAUUCCAGGGCCAUGCAGAGGCCCAUUGCACAGGCACAGCAGCAUCCAAAAUGGCCACCACACUGAGGAGGGAAGGCAGAAAACCAGCCGAAGAGCGGCCAAUUUCUGGAAUAAGGGAGGCUGGUGGGGGGAGGGGGAACCUCAGUGGACCCUCCCCCUGCCUUGGACAACUCCCCUCAGAGGGGUAAGUGUAAAAAAAAAAUAAAUUAAAACAUUUUUUGUGAAACGUCCCCCUCCGACCAAACCGGGGGGGUGCCAGACUGAACUGGCCUGGUCUGGGUCCAGUUCAGACUCAAACUGAACUAGACCAGCUGGUUCUGUGCACACCCGUAGCGGGAAGGGCUAAUGCCAAAAUACUUUUAGAACCUGGAAUGUUUCCGGUUGGCCUACCACGUGUGCAUGAAGCCCAUUUUGUGUGAGGCACAGUGACUAUUUAGAAGAACUUUGGAAUCUGUUUCUGCUCUAAAGCCAGCAAUGAUAAUUGUCCAAUGGGAACUUCUGGCAUGUAUGGCUUCUCAAAGCCACCAUAAACAGCAGGUGCCUACCCAUUGGGAUGAGCAAGAGAUUCAGUCCUUACCUUUCAAGUGUAUUCUUUACAUCCUGCAUGAGAAGAAAAGGCAAUACAAUUAGUCAGGAUUCAUACAGUCAUAGAGGAGCCCACCCACUAUUAAAACUGUCCUUUCAGACAAUGUAGGAGGUGGGGAAGGAGAUCCCAUUUGUGCUCUAUUAAACCCAAAAAUCGUCACUGUCUUCUCCUUUCUCACCUCGAAAGCACAGCUCACGGUUCAAAACUCCACCAACUUAUCACAAGAGGUCGAAAGUGACUGAACUGGUGGACAUUCCAUCCAAACUAACUCAUCUUCCAACCUGCCACUGUAACAUCCAGAAAUAUUAACCCUAGGCAGCCAUAUAAAGCCAAUGUAGUAGGGGGAUCAGGAUCACCAUAAGCCUACUCUAUUCCCCAGUGGUGUAUCCAAUUUCACCAAAGCCUUUGUUGUACACUGACUAGAGUGUCUGCAUAGGAACAGAACCACCCAGGUUCAAAACCCAUUGAAGCUCACUGGGUGACCUUAGGCUAGUCACUUUGAGUCUAACUUACCUCGCACUGCCAGUCAGUGUAGACAAUACUGAGUGAGAUGGUCUGACUCAGUAUAAGGUAGCAUCCGAUUUUUAAAUCUACAAUUUUCAAGGUGCCAUAGAGGUGUGCACAAAAGAGAGACUCACAUUCUGCAACCAAGGUAGAACUCCUCUUGGCUCCCAGACCUUCUCCCAUCUCAGUAUACUGACAACAAAUGAAGGGGCCAUAGCUCAGCGGCAUACUUUGUAUGCAAAAGGCCCCAGAUUCCAUUCCCAGCAUAUCCCAUUUAAAGGCCUCAGCAAAAGGCAUUUGCCUGAGAUCUUGGAGAGCUGCAGCUAGUCAGUGUAAACAAUGCUGGACUGAUUCAGUAUAAGGCUGCAUCAUAUGGCAUAAGAACAGAUGAACAAUAUAAAUCUCAAGUACCUAAUCAUUUGGCUACCUGAAACCUGGCAUGCCUGCUAGGAAUUCAA